rnacentral:lncRNA from 1 species
AAUUCGACUGAAACGUUGUUUUUAAGCAAGUGCGACAUUCUUGUAAGACUCCGCAAAAUCGACGGUGCUUUUUAACUACUUAUCGAAAAUUAAUGUAUUUUAGUUUUUUAAAAAUUUAAGAAAAAUAACAUUUUAAAAAAUCAUAAAAUUCUACCAUUAUAAGAGCAGUGAUAAGCAAACAAUUGACGUAAAUUUGAGUUGAGUUCGUUUUUACGUCAAAAAAUGGCGGUGCGACAAACUUGUAAGCCCUUGAAAAAUCGCUCACAAAUAACCAUAUAUCAUUUUUCAGGAUAUUUGUCUUUAAAUUCAUAAAAUUAAGCAAAUUAACAUUGAUUUAGUAAAUACAAAUACUAAACUUUUUUCAUUAGAUAAAUGUUUUUUGAUUCUCAAAUCUGGAAUCCCAAUUUUUUUUUUCCCCGCGGGACAGAUUUGCCCUUGUAGUAUGGAACGCG